UCUGGAUUCGGAAUGGGCAAAAACAAGAGCUGAAAUCAUUUUAUAGAAGGAAGUUAAUGAAGCAUUGUUUGAAUGAACAGGCUCCCUAGCUUCCUUCAUGUUUUGUACCAACACAGAUUCCAUUUGGAGGAUUUCAUUUCUUUCUGGCUAUUGGUGAUAAUGAACAGAGCUGCGUUCCCAGCCACCAAGGGCCCAUCCACCCAGGACUCACCAGGCCCCUGCCACAUGGGUCACGGGCCGUCCUGGCUAAAAUUGCCCUAGUUGGUCGCGUGAUGCAAGAGGGUAUUUUAAAGCUUUCUUCCAUUAUUUCAUUCUGUUUAUUCUGAACCCCAGUGAUCACUGUGUUUAUCUGGGAACCUCACACAGCUGAAGUUAUCUCUGAUAGAUGUAGCCCAUUGGUAAACACAGAAAUGGCCCUAGUUCCUCAUCUAAAAUGGGAUAACAGUAGCACAUACUUGGAGCACUGUAAGUGCUGAAUGAGUCACCCUACACAAGUGCUGUGUAAGGUCAGCUACUGUCAUUACUAUUAUCACUGCUACUGCACUGGAACAGACGCACAUUCCACUUUUCUACUGGUGCUGGUCAUUCCAGACUUUCUUUUUGAUAAUCAGGAACGGACAAGUAUGGAAAUACAAUUGAAAGAAGGAACACAGUGGUUUUAACUUAUGCUCUAGAGCUGCAAAUGGCGAAUAUUAAAUGCCAUCCAACAGCAAGUUUGGUCAGGGAUGGGGGAGGGGAAAACCACACAACAGGCCAGAGACACUGAAGCAAAACCUCACUCUUCACAGUUUUGCCUCUUCCUGGCCCUGGCAAGAGAUACGAUUGCCUUUAAAUUACAAUAAGAGAAACCGCAGACAAAGUUCUGGUUAGGCAGCGGGCUUAUCUCUCAGACUAACGGGCCACAUGGAUCUUUUCCUGUCAUGUAGCAGUUGGACAUUUAAUGCACAACUUACGUGAACUGCGGUGAGAACGACCAGAUUUUACAGCACAUGGCGAAACUAUAAUGGUCGAGGGUUGUUAAUUUUAAAAAACUGUUUUAAUGAAACAGUCCCCAUUUAUGGCACGGUCCUCCAAAGCUCAUCUAAGGGAGUCUCCACGAGCUGCCACUGGCCAGCGUUCCACUCGGUCUGUACCUUAGAUGUUCCCGCCACAUUGUGCACCGAUAGUAGCUGAACAUUUAAAUGUGGGCCUUCCAUAAAAAGGAACGAAACUGAGUUAUGUGUAAUGAGGUGGAUGGACCUAGAGUCUGUCAUACAGAGUGAAGUAAGUCAGAGAGAGAAAAACAGAUACCGUAUGCUAAGGCAUAUGUAUGGAAUCUAAAAAAGCAGUACUGAUGAACCUAGGGGCAGGCCAGGAAUAAAGACGCAGACCUACUAGAGAAGGGACUUGAGGACUCGGGGAGGGGGAAGGGUAAGCUGGGAUGAAGUGAGAGACUGGUAUUUGGUAGCGUGGCGUAUAUGCUACCAAACGUAAACUAGAUAGCUAGCGGGAAGCAGCUGCAUAGCACAGGGAGAUCAGCUCGGUGCUUUGUGACCACGUAGGGGGUGGGAUAGGGAGGGUGGAAGGGAGACGCAAGAGGGAGGAGAUGUGGGGAUAUAUGUAUACGUAUAGCUGAUUCACUUUGUUAUACAGCAGCAACUAACACAACAAUGUGAAGCAAUUAUACUGCAAUAAUGAUAUUAAAACACGUACAAUAAAAAAAUAAAUAAAAUAAAAUU